rnacentral:ncRNA from 1 species
AUAAAGGCGAUGAAUAGAGGAGUAAUUGUAUUUUGAUCAUUCUAGAGAGUCUCGGCUGGUGGAAAGAGAUAAUGAUAGGUAUAAUGAAAAAAGACUAGGAGCUGUAUCUAGGAUAUUUAAAUUGAUUAGAUAACGUGAGCCACGUUACAGGCAAGACUAUUAUUUGAUAGUUAAUGAGGUUAAUAAGGUGACUUAUUAAUGAAAUAGGGUGGUACCACGAUACUUUCGUCCCUUUG